GCUCUUUUGAGUUGUUUGGAGGAUUCAUGGCUACAUAUAACCUGGUAGUGCAUGUACUGUGGGGCUCAUCCAAAUGGGAGAGGCCCUUCGGGGGCCUGCAUCAGAGUGAGGAGGCACGUCCCUGGGUAGCUCACCCUGGCCACCGGGAUGUGAAGACCCCUGGGGAUCUGCAGAACAGUGUCAAUGACACCGAUGGGAGGGGUCGUCCUUCUGGUUACUGAUGUGAACGGCAGUGGCUCCAGUAUUUCACCAUUAAGCAUCCUGCUGGACUUGAUUUUACAUAGAGCUAGGAACUGACUGCUGUGCUCACCUUUGACCACCCAGCUCACCUGUGACCACCCAGCUUGAGACAACAGACCUGCCACCCUGCUGUAUUCACUGAGACAGCAGACCUACCUGCUGUUUCCAUCAAUCACUGUGCUGACAGAGCAGUCUCGCAACUAUUGUAAAAGGGACAUUUCAAUCCUAUGUGAAACAUCCUCUCUGGGGGUAUAUAACCACCCUGUGCACCCCACUUCUUUGGUGCCCUUUCUUCCUUCGGGAAGAAAGGCCCUGGGCCAUGGUCCUCAGAUUUCAGCUCAGAAUAAACUCUCCCAAAUUUUCAUUUA
rnacentral:lncRNA from 1 species